rnacentral:rRNA from 1 species
UACGUAGGGUGCAAGCGUUAAUCGGAAUUACUGGGCGUAAAGCGUGCGCAGGCGGUUCUAUAAGACAGAUGUGAAAUCCCCGGGCUCAACCUGGGAACUGCAUUUGUGACUGUAGAGCUGGAGUGCGGCAGAGGGGGAUGGAAUUCCGCGUGUAGCAGUGAAAUGCGUAGAUAUCUGGAGGAACACCGGUGGCGAAGGCGGCAUCCUGGACCGGCAUUGACGCUGAACAGCGAAAGCCAGGGGAGCAAACGGG